rnacentral:miRNA from 1 species
GACGUCGAAUAUCGACGUCAUAAACACCAAAGUUGAUCGUGUUUAUGACGUCGAAUAUCGACGUCAUAAACACCAAAGUUGAUCGUGUUUAUGACGUCGAAUAUCGACGCCAUAAACACCAAAGUUGAUCGUGUUUAUGACGUCUUAUAUCGACGUCAUAAACACCAAAUUUGAUCGUGUUUAUGACGUGGAUAUUUGACGUCAUAAACACCAAAGUUGAUCGUGUUUAUGACGUCGAAUAUCGACGUC